UGAGAAGCAACAACAAAACCGCUUGGCAUCAAACAUCCUAUAGAGAAAAGUGUGAAUUAAUAGAAUUUAAUUUGAAAGUAGAUGCUUAGAAGGAGAUGACGACAUAUAAAAAAUAUACUGUAGUUCCUGGAAAAACUCUCGCAAUCACUUAUCAAUUCUAUUUGAAAUGUGAAAAUUUCACUCACCGAAUCGGAAUAGACAAAAAGGCCAAAAGAUGUGAACGUUAUCGCCGGCCCUGUUUAUAAUCAUAUUUAUACCGAUCGCUGUAGUUAUAAGGAACAUCAAUAUGAAGUAGACGAUAUGGGGACCAACGAGGCCGACAUAUAUGAAGACUAAAAACUUCUUGCGCUUAAAUAGUACAAACUAAAUCUUAGUUGAUCUGAAAUGUGAAUUGUAAUCGCAGUUAGUUCAUUGCCUUGCUACUUACAAACAAGCCAUAAAGGACUAAGGAGCAGGAUGCCAAAAAUAAGAUGACUUCAGGAACCACAAAACAUAUGAAUGAAUUGUAAUCGCCUAUUUUUGAAAAACUAUGUGUAUUUAGCAAAUUUAAAAUAGUCGUUAGUAAUAUGAUUUUCACCUCUAGUUCCUUUUCUAUCGCCACUAUCUGAAAGUAAAGCAAAAAGUCGUAUUAAA